rnacentral:misc_RNA from 1 species
UCCCCGUUGCCGGGGCAGUCUAGCCAGAAAAAUUCAACUGACUAUAAGGGUUGCGCUCGUUGAUGGACUUAACCAAACAUCUCACGACACGAGCUGACGACGGCCAUGCAACACCUGUCACUGGGUUCCAAAAGGCACGGUUCCCUUUCGGGAACUUUCCCAGGAUGUCAAACCUUGGUAAGGUUCUUCGCUUAUCUUCGAAUUAAACAACACGCUCCACCGCUUGUGCGGGUCCCCGUCAAUUCCUUUAUGUUUUAAGCUUGCGCUCGUACUCCACAGGCGGGAUGCUUAACGCGUUAGCUUCGCUACUACCAGGGUCGAUACUGAUAACAGCUAGCAUCCAUAGUUUACGGCGUGGACUAC